GUCCCAGCACGGGCUCGCCACACGGAUUACGGAUUGUCAAGGUGCCUUUGAACCACAAACUGUAACCGGAGCCACCGCUGCUCCUAAUACACAACAACAACACCGGUUAUUUUACUGCCGCCGCUGCCCCAUCACGGGACACGGACUACCAAGUCAUCUUUAAACUGCAAGAUGACACAACUAAAAAACCCGGUUACUGCUGUCCCCACUACGGGACACGGACUACCAAGGCACCUUUAAACUGCAAGAUGACACAACAAAGACAGGUUGCCGCUGUCCCCACUACGGGACACGGACUACCAAGGCACCUUUAAACUGCAAGAUGACACAACAAAGACAGGUUGCCGCUGUCCCCACUACGGGACACGGACUACCAAACCACUGAUACCAAGCUCCGCAGAGCUGUCACAACUUUUACAAACAAACCCAAGAGGCGUAUGUUGUGCACGAGACGUCUCUCAGUGUCUUACCAACCGCCUAUACCAAGUCCACGAUGCACAGAGUGAAGAAAUGUCCAACAGCAGCUCCAUCAGCCACUUCCUCCUGCUGCCAUUGGCAGACACACGGCAGCUGCAGCUCCUGCACUUCUGCCUCUUCCUGGGCAUCUCCCUGGCUGCCCUCCUGGCCAACGGCCUCAUCAUCAGCACCGUAGCCUGUGGCCACCUCCUGCACACGCCCAUGUUCUUCUUCCUGCUCAACCUGGCCCUCACCGACCUGGGCUCCAUCUGCACCACUGUCCCCAAAGCCAUGCACAAUUCCCUCUGGGACACCACGACCAUCUCCUAUGAAGGAUGUGCUGCACAGCUAUUUCUGAUUGUAUUUUUCAUUUCAGCAGGGUAUUUUCUUCUCACUGUGAUGUGCUAUGACCACUACGUGUCCAUCUGCAAACCCCUGCCUACGGGACCCUCCUGGGCAGCAGAGCUUGUGCCCACAUGGCAGCAGCUGCCUGGGCCAGUGCCUUUCUCAAUGCUCUGCUGCACACAGCCAAUACAUUUUCCCUGCCCUUGUGCCAGGGCAAUGCUCUGGGCCAGUUCUUCUGUGAAAUCCCACACAUCCUCAAGCUCUCCUGCUCCAAAUCCUACCUCAGGAACUUGGGCUUCUUGCUGUUGGUGCCUGUUUAACUUUUGGCCAUUUUGUUUUCUCCUAUGUGCAGAUCUUCAGGGCCGUGCUGAGGAUCCCCUGAGCAGGGACGGCAUAAAGCCUUUUCCACCUGCCUCCCUCACCUGGCUGUGGUCUCCCUGUUUAUCAGAACUGCAGCCUUUACCUACCUGAAGCCUCCCUCCAUUUCCUCCCCAUCCCUGGAUCUGUCACUUUCAGUUCUGUUUCUCGG